rnacentral:tRNA from 1 species
CAAAAUGUAGCUUAAAUAAAGCAUCUCGCUUACACCGAGAAUACAUCUGUGGAAAUCAGAUCAUUAUGA